rnacentral:sRNA from 1 species
AGACAAUUAAGCUAUGGAAGUUUGGUUAAAUUCCAACACGGUCCCGCCACUGUAAUCAUGCAUUUGCAUGGAGUCAGAUCUUUGCUUAGUUUGCUAAUAAUGCACAUGAACUGUUUCGAGGUCAGACA